UGCCAGCCGCCGCGGUAAUACGGAGGGGGUUAGCGUUGUUCGGAAUUACUGGGCGUAAAGCGCACGUAGGCGGAUCAGAAAGUAUGGGGUGAAAUCCCAGGGCUCAACCCUGGAACUGCCUCAUAAACUCCUGGUCUAGAGUUCGAGAGAGGUGAGUGGAAUUCCUAGUGUAGAGGUGAAAUUCGUAGAUAUUAGGAAGAACACCAGUGGCGAAGGCGACUUUCUGGCUCGUAACUGACGCUGAGGCACGAAAGCGUGGGGAGCAAACAGGAUUAGAUA
rnacentral:rRNA from 1 species